rnacentral:rRNA from 1 species
AUUGAACGCUGGCGGAAUGCUUUACACAUGCAAGUCGAACGGUAGAGGGGGCAACCCCUCGAGAGUGGCGAACGGGUGAGUAAUAUAUCGGAACGUGCCCAGUCGUGGGGGAUAACGUAGCGAAAGUUACGCUAAUACCGCAUACGAUCUAAGGAUGAAAGCGGGGGAUAGCAAGACCUCGCGCGAUUGGAGCGGCCUAUAUCAGAUUAGGUAGUUGGUGGGGUAAAGGCUCACCAAGACAACGAUCUGUAGCUGGUCUGAGAGGACGACCAGCCACACUGGAACUGAGACACGGUCCAGACUCCUACGGGAGGCAGCAGUGGGGAAUUUUGGACAAUGGACGCAAGUCUGAUCCAGCCAUUCCGCGUGCAGGAUGAAGGCCCUCGGGUUGUAAACUGCUUUUGUACGGAACGAAAAGGUCUCUCUUAAUACGGGGGGCUCAUGACGGUACCGUAAGAAUAAGCACCGGCUAACUACGUGCCAGCAGCCGCCGUAA